AUUGAAGUAGUUUAUUAAAAACGUCGGUUUGUGAUGCCGGAGAUGUGAUUUUACACCUUUGAUA
rnacentral:tRNA from 1 species